rnacentral:rRNA from 1 species
AAACCNACAGGGAUUGCCUUAGUAACGGCGAGUGAAGCGGCAAAAGCUCAAAUUUGAAAUCUGGCACCUUCGGUGUCCGAGUUGUAAUUUGAAGAAGGUAACUUUGGGAUUGGCUCUUGUCUAAGUUCCUUGGAACAGGACGUCACAGAGGGUGAGAAUCCCGUGCGAUGAGAUGACCAAUCCUAUGUAAAGUGCUUUCGAAGAGUCGAGUUGUUUGGGAAUGCAGCUCUAAGUGGGUGGUAAAUUCCAUCUAAAGCUAAAUAUUGGCGAGAGACCGAUAGCGAACAAGUACAGUGAUGGAAAGAUGAAAAGAACUUUGAAAAGAGAGUGAAAAAGUACGUGAAAUUGUUGAAAGGGAAGGGCUUGAGAUCAGACUUGGUAUUUUGCAUUCCUUACCUUCGUGGUGGGGUUCCUUGCAGUUUACUGGGCCAGCAUCGGUUUGGAUGGUGGGAUAAUGACAUUGGAAUGUGGCUCUGCUUCGGUAGAGUGUUAUAGCCAGUGUUGAUACCGCCUGUCUAGACCGAGGACUGCGUCUUUGACUAGGAUGCUGGCAUAAUGAUCUUAAGUCGC